GCCGUACAUUCGUCGUGCAGGCUUUCUUGAGAUCGUCCGGGUCUACAACAGUGGACUUCCCACUCUAGACCCUGCAGUUCUUACUGCUUUUGUUGACAGGUGGAGACCAGAGACGCACACCUUCCACACACCUUGUGGAGAAAUGACUAUCACAUUGCAGGAUGUGAAGAUGAUAUUGUGUUUGAGUUUGUCUGGUCAUCCGGUGACUGGGGUCGUCGAUGAGUCUACUUGGCUAGACUUGGUACAGGAGUUUUGUGGCAGGCGGCCAUCAGAUGCUGAAGUUAAAGGCACCAAGAAGACCUCAGGAGUCUCGACGUCUUGGAUUACGCAGAACUUUGGUGCAGGACCACCGCCU